UACGAAGGGGGCUAGCGUUGCUCGGAAUGACUGGGCGUAAAGGGCGCGUAGGCGGACAUAUUAGUCAGGCGUGAAAUUCCUGGGCUUAACCUGGGGGCUGCGUUUGAUACGGUGUGUCUUGAGUGGGGAAGAGGGUCGUGGAAUUCCCAGUGUAGAGGUGAAAUUCGUAGAUAUUGGGAAGAACACCGGUGGCGAAGGCGGCGACCUGGUCCUUGACUGACGCUGAGGCGCGAAAGCGUGGGGAGCAAAC
rnacentral:rRNA from 1 species